rnacentral:rRNA from 1 species
CGCGUAGGCGGCCUCUGCAAGUCGACUGUGAAAUCUCCGGGCUUAACCCGGAAAGGUCAGCCGAUACUGCAGGGCUAGAGUGCAGAAGGGCAACUGGAAUUCUCGGUGUAGCGGUGAAAUGCGUAGAUAUCGAGAGGAACACCUGCGGCGAAGGCGGGUUGCUGGGCUGACACUGACGCUGAGGCGCGAAAGCCAGGGGAGCGAACG